AUGAUUGCAUCAGUAAACCUAGGCGAAGUCAUGGCGCGAGAAGUCCAGGACAUAAAGUAUGCCGAUGUGGUCGCGCUGAAAAAUCACAAGGCGGGACGAAAUGCUGGUGUAGCAAGAAACGCCGACGUUGCAUGCAUGUCUGAUAUGAUAUACCAGAGAACCAAACGCCACCUAGCUCACACUUGCAUGUGGCCGACGUGA
rnacentral:rRNA from 1 species